rnacentral:rRNA from 1 species
UACGAAGGGGGCUAGCGUUGCUCGGAAUGACUGGGCGUAAAGGGCGCGUAGGUGGCGCGACAAGUCAGUGGUGAAAGCUCGACGCUCAACGUCGAGUCGGCCACUGAGACUGUUGGGCUUGAGCACUGUAGAGGCUAAUGGAAUUCCGGGUGUAGCGGUGGAAUGCGUAGAGAUCCGGAAGAACACCGGUGGCGAAGGCGGUUAGCUGGGCAGUUGCUGACACUGAGGCGCGACAGCGUGGGGAGCAAACAGG